rnacentral:rRNA from 1 species
UACGUAGGUGGCAAGCGUUGUCCGGAUUUAUUGGGUUUAAAGGGUGCGUAGGCGGCUUUGUAAGUCAGUGGUGAAAUAUGGCAGCUCAACUGUCAGGGUGCCAUUGAUACUGCAGAGCUUGAGUACAGAUGAGGUAGGCGGAAUUGACGGUGUAGCGGUGAAAUGCGUAGAUAUCGUUUGGAACGCCAAAGGUGAAAACAGACAGCUGGGAGUGUGCUGACGCUGAGACACGAAAGCCAGGGGAGCGAACGGG